GACAGAGGCCUCGAGCGUUUAGGCGGAAUCACUGGGCUUAAAGCGUGUGUAGGCGGGCCCGUAAGUGUCUUGUGAAAUCCCACGGCUCAACCGUGGAACUGCUGGGCAUACUGGCGGGUCUUGGGCCAACUAGGGGCAGCCGGAACAAGCGGUGGAGCGGUGAAAUGCGUAGAUAUCGCUUGGAACGCCGAAGGUGAAAA
rnacentral:rRNA from 1 species